rnacentral:rRNA from 1 species
CCUACGGGAGGCAGCAGUGGGGAAUUUUGCGCAAUGCUCGUAAGAGUGACGCAGCGACGCCGCGUGAAUGACGAAGGCCUUCGGGUCGUAAAGUUCUUUCGACAGGGAAGAAAAUGCCUAUAAGUAACUGUGUAUGUAUUGACGGUACCUGUAUAAGCAGCCCCGGCUAACUCCGUGCCAGCAGCCGCGGUAAUACGGAGGGGGCGAGCGUUGUUCGGAGGGACUGGGCGUAAAGAGCACGUAGGCGGUGUUGUAAGUCAUUAGUCAAAGACUAGAGCUCAACUUUAGUAAGGCUAGUGAUACUAUAAUACUAGAGUAUCAGAGAGGAUUGCAGAAUUCCUGGUGUAGCGGUGAAAUGCGUAGAUAUCAGGAGGAAUACCGUUAGCGAAGGCGGCAAUCUGGCUGGAAACUGACGCUGAGGUGCGAAAGCGUGGGUAGUAAACAGGAUUAGAUACCCUAGUAGUC